GGCGUGCUUAACACAUGCAAGUCGAACGAAGCGAUUUAACGGAAGCCUUCGGGCAGAAGAUAAAUUGACUUAGUGGCGGACGGGUGAGUAACGCGUGAGCAACCUGCCCAUAAGAGGGGGAUAACAGUUGGAAACGACUGCUAAUACCGCAUAAGACCACAUUACCGCAUGGUAGAGGGGUCAAAGAAAUUCGCUUAUGGAUGGGCUCGCGUCCCAUUAGGUAGUUGGUAGGGUAACGGCCUACCAAGCCAAUGAUGGGUAGCCGACCUGAGAGGGUGAUCGGCCACACUGGAACUGAGACACGGUCCAGACUCCUACGGGAGGCAGCAGUGGGGAAUAUUGGGCAAUGGGCGCAAGCCUGACCCAGCAACGCCGCGUGAGGGAAGAAGGCCUUCGGGUUGUAAACCUCUGUCCUAUGGGAAGAAAAAAAUGACGGUACCAUAGGAGGAAGCUCCGGCUAACUACGUGCCAGCAGCCGCGGUAAUACGUAGGGAGCAAGCGUUGUCCGGAAUUACUGGGCGUAAAGGGUGCGUAGGCGGUUGCUUAAGUCAGAUGUGAAAUACUCGGGCUCAACUCGGGGGCUGCAUCUGAUACUGGGUAACUAGAGUGCAGGAGAGGAAAGUGGAAUUCCUAGUGUAGCGGUGGAAUGCGUAGAUAUUAGGAGGAACACCAGUGGCGAAGGCGACUUUCUGGACUGUAACUGACGCUGAGGCACGAAAGUAUGGGUAGCAAACAGGAUUAGAUACCCUGGUAGUCCAUACUGUAAAC
rnacentral:rRNA from 1 species